GUCGCCGGGUGCAGCAGGCGUGUCGCCCCCGCGGGAGCUGUGCGGUCCGCGUGGCUUUGAGUAUUGACCCGAGGUGGUUCGCCUUGAGCCUCCGCAGGGAGCACGUGCAGCAGCGGCGCAGGCGCGGGGGAGAGCGCGGACGCGCCCACCACGGUGCAGCGGCCCCUUCGAGGCCACAGGUCGCUCUCCAGGCGGUGCCGGCGACGAUGGAGUCGGCGCCGCGCCGAGCACGCUCGGCAGGGCGGCUUGGGCAGCCCGCGGCUGACGCUCGUGCAGGCGAGAUCGACCUCUGCCCCCGAAGGCCCUCGGGCUGAUCGUGGCUGUGCGUGGUGCAGGGUGCCCGGCAGUCCAGGGCGUGGGUCGGGGGGAUAUCCCCAGAGCUUUCGCAAACGUCCUCUCGAGGCCUUUGAGGCGCCCCCCACCAUCUGGCACGUGAGUUCAGCGACCUGAUGGCGCCAUGUAACCCGGGUCUCCAGCCGCCCUCAGUGGCACUACUUCUCUUUGCGGACACAGCACCCGGGGAGGACACGCGGGACUCGGUGCUGCCGGACAGCAGUCCUGCAGGAGGAGCCCUUAGGCCUCUCCUCGGAGUGAAGGUGGCAGAGCGGCAGCGCCUUCUCCACGGUUGGAAGCGCAGGACGCGAGACACUUCUGGAUGAAAAGGUUGAGAUGGCGCUGGCGGAUGAUGGUGGCGACUUUUGCCCCUAACUCCUCAGGGAUAAUGGGUCUCUUUACACUUUGUAAGGAUGGACUGGGCGAGUCGCUUCGCGGUGACCGUCGUGGUGCUGGUCUUGGACGCCACCCCAGACGACCUACGUGUCUCAAGCAGCUGGCUGAGGGGCUUGGAGCCGUUGGAGGCUGGCUGCCGCUAGCCACGAGGGUCUUCUUGGCACCUCCUCCUCCUGAGCUGUCUUGCCCGCCGGGGCACCACGAGACUCCUCCUCCAGGGCUCUGCCUCCUGGCCUUGCUUGGAAAGGACGGAGCUGGAAGGAGAUUUAAUACACACAGAAGAGGAGAUGGCAGAGCCGCCGAGGAAGCAGAGAUUGGCCACAAGACAAAGGCUGCUGGCAGCUCCCAGAAGCUCCUGCAGGCGAGGACUCUCUUACAGCCUUCGGACAGCUGUGACCCUGCUUCGACCCUGAUUAGGGCCCAGUGAUACUGACUUCGCAUUUCUGGCCUUCAGAACU
rnacentral:lncRNA from 1 species